CCGGCGCACGGUGAGUAACGCGUAUGCAACUUGCCUAUCAGAGGGGGAUAACCCGGCGAAAGUCGGACUAAUACCGCAUGAAGCAGGGGCCCCGCAUGGGGAUAUUUGCUAAAGAUUCAUCGCUGAUAGAUAGGCAUGCGUUCCAUUAGGCAGUUGGCGGGGUAACGGCCCACCAAACCGACGAUGGAUAGGGGUUCUGAGAGGAAGGUCCCCCACAUUGGAACUGAGACACGGUCCAA
rnacentral:rRNA from 1 species